GGGUGACUAGUCUAGUGGUCAGGACGUUUCGUUGUGGUAAAACACGAAUCCGAAGAAACCCCGGUUCGAUUCCGGGGUCGCCCA